rnacentral:rRNA from 1 species
UCCUACGGGCGGCAGCAGUGGGGAAUUUUGCGCAAUGGGCGAAAGCCUGACGCAGCAACGCCGCGUGCGGGAUGAAGGCCUUCGGGUUGUAAACCGCUUUCAGCAGGGAUGAAACUGACAGUACCUGCAGAAGAAGCCCCGGCUAACUACGUGCCAGCAGCCGCGGUAAUACGUAGGGGGCAAGCGUUAUCCGGAUUUAUUGGGCGUAAAGCGCGCGUAGGCGGCUUGUUAAGUCAGGCGUGAAAUCUGGGGGCUCAACCCGCAGCUUGCGUCUGAAACUGGCAGGCUUGAGUCUGGUAGAGGAAAGUGGAAUUCCUAGUGUAGCGGUGAUAUGCGCAGAUAUUAGGAGGAACACCAGUGGCGAAGGCGGCUUUCUGGGCCACGACUGACGCUGAGGCGCGAAAGCUAGGGGAGCGAACAGGAUUAGAUACCCUGGUAGU